rnacentral:lncRNA from 7 species
UUUCCUCAUAUGGGAGAUGCUCCAGACCCUUUGUCAUCUUUGUGUCCCUCCACUGGACUCCUUCUAGGAGAUCCCUGUCUUUUUUUGAACUGAGGAGCCCAGAACUGGACACAGAAGUCUAAAUGUGGCCUCACCAGGGUAGAGUAGAGGGAGAAGAUCACCUCCCUUGCCCUUCUGGUCAAGCUCUUUUUAGUGCAACCCAGUGAAGGUUCCAUUGGCCUUCUUGGUCACCAGGGCACACCGCUGGCUCAUGGCCAACCUGUUGUUCAUCAGAAUUAGAUUCUAUGGGCAAUCAUGGAGCCUGAGGAGUUAAUCUGGUUUAGUUAGGCAUCUUGGAAAAGUACUGUAUGAAGUCAGAAGGUGAAUUCAACCACUGCACUUCAAUCAACUUCAGCAUGAGCCUGAUUAACUCAGAGCAUUGGCGGUCUGCACUAAACAACCCAUCAUCUGGCAGUCACUCACACUUUGCCUUCCUGUGGUGUGGCAGAUGGCAAUUUUCACCCCAGCUAUCCCUGCAGCCCAAGGCAGAUGGCAAGACUCCUUGGUCUGUGCUGACAAACUAAGGCUUCCUCAGUGAUCAAAUAAGAUACUCCCAACCUAAUUCUGGCUCACCUGGAGCUGCCUCUGCAUCUGGAGAUGUGAUAUCACAGGGAAUAAAACACUGCUCAAACUGUGGUGUUAUGGAGUUCGUAUGGUGCUGAAAUGAGUUUGAAUUUUGUCACUUUGGAAAGUUGCAUGAAUUUAUUUUAAUUAUUCAAGCUGGUGUCACAGGACUAUUCUAUUUUUUAAAUAAAUGAGAGCAUGUUUAAAUAU